rnacentral:sRNA from 1 species
CGGCGGCCGGGCUGGGCGGCGGCGGCGGCGGUCAUGGAACGCCAAGAGGAGUCCCUGUCCGCGCGGCCGGCCCUGGAGACCGAGGGGCUGCGCUUCCUGCACACCACGGUGGGCUCCCUGCUGGCCACCUAUGGCUGGUACGUCGUCUUCAGCUGCAUCCUGCUCUACGUGGUCUUUCAGAAGCUUUCCGCCCGGCUAAGAGCCUUGAGGCAGAGGCAGCUGGACCGAGCUGCGGCUGCUGUGGGUUAGUGCCUGAUAACCGAAAUGAAAGCGGUGGUUUUGCACCUCCUUUAUAUUAAGAGUUAGUCUCUUAGUAAAAGUAAGAGGGGCCACACAGGAAGACCCUGUCUCU